rnacentral:tRNA from 1 species
GGAAGUGUAUUUUAAGAAAAAUAAUUUGUUUACACCAAAUUGAUCUGCCAAAAAGCAGCGCAUCCA